UGUUUUUUUUUUCUUGUUUUGUAAAUCAAAGCAGACCAACUCUUGAGUCAAGGGGAAGUCUUGCAGGUUACAAGUAGUAUAGUCGAUGGGUAUCCCUUGGGGCUCUCACAGGUUGGUUCAUUGCGUGCAUCCUCACGGGCCACCGGAUCACCGGCAGUGAACCUCCCUCAUCACUAGCUGCGCGGGUUUGGCGGUGCACAGACGGCACAUGUGGCCACAGUUGCCCAAGAUCACUCUGCUAUGCAGAAGACACAGGCACGGAGGCAGGGUCUUGAUCGGUGAAAGUGCAUGCCGCUGCAGCACCCAGCACUACAUGGCACGGACCACCCGCCCAAGUGGUGAACCAUCGAAUAGAAGUUCGCUGAAACAGCGCCCAGGCGAUGCAAAGUCCAGCCACCAUUACAGCAGCUCAUUCAUCCAAAUAAUGACUGAUAUAAGCUAUUCUUACAUAGCGUAUUGGAAAAAGAGUACACAGCCCAUCAUGGAUAGAAAACUAAAAGUCAACCUUAUAUGAUGUACCGGCAAAAUAAAGUACUUAGUGCAGCUUCGAUGGAGAUUUGGAUAGCCAGCACAGUCUGCCGUCGACCUCAAUUUAAUCAGAUGCCUAAAAGUAAGUACCAGAGAGUUACAUCAGUAGUUAUCAAAAAGAAUGGUCACCAAGACAAAAAAAAAAUCUCCGAAGAGAAUGGUCUACCAACACGAUGAAACAAAUCAAUUUAAUUAUCAAUAUGUUACUACAUAAAAUUAUCUCGUAAAGGACACUAUAACUGCAUCAACACACAAGGAAAAAUUAUGUCCUAAAAGCAUAAUGUACUGACAUUAUCAAUGCUCAAAAAUAUUAUAACAAACCUGAGCAAUCCAAUCAUCAAACAAAAGCCAAUAGCAAAUGCUCGCUGGUUACAACAAAAUGGGAAAUCAGACGGGUCGACCCAUAUCACCAGAGAGGCUAACUAAAUCAUGGUGCCAGAGGAGUCAAGGCAACUCAUGAGAACGGUGACUCGCUGCAUGCUAGGGGGUGGCAAGGAUGCCUUGUUCUAGGAGGAUAGAUGGAUGCAGGGCUGUAGGGUUCAGGAGGUGGCUCCCAACCUAUACGCGCGGGUCAGCCCUGGGAUGCGCUCGAGCUACACGAUGAGCCAAACACUGACUGAUGACGGAUGGGCCGCCCAUGUGGGGCCGGAGAAGAUCGUGGCAAGGCUUACCGGGCAAAAAUGACAAAUCUGACCUAUGAACGAAACUAUUUCACAAACUAAACUAUGUUUGAAAAAAAAUUCACCCGACUGACUCUUUUAUGUAGCACCCGACAUCUAGGCGUCACACUACACUGUGCGGCGCCUAGCUCUUAGGCGCUACUCGACUAGCCAGUGUCGCAUCCUAGGCUGCCUGAAAAAUGCUAAGUCAGUGUGCAACGCCUGAGAGCUAGGCGCUACACUAUAUAGUGCAGCGCCUAGCGUAUAGGCGCUGCACUGAUGGCCGGUAUACUUCAGCCUUUCGCCCAACAUCACUGUAAACAAGGCAAGCUUCUGUCGGAAGCAGCACAACACAGAGCAGUGUAUAAAUACGCUGAUGCAUGCAUGGAUAGGUUUGCAUGCAUCCCAGAACCAGAACUAGCGUGUCCGCCGAUGACGCCGUCGACGUGUUUCCGUCGCAUUGGGACAGGCAUGCGGAGCCUCGCUAGGCUCACGUGGGCAGGGCACGUACGCACUUGCUGCUCUAUCCAUCUCGUGUCCACAACAAAGGACUGAAACGAGCUAGGGGAUAGGGCGACAGCGACAUGUCUGAAGGUAGGUUAGCUAGAUUCAUAGAUGCUACGUAACCUUGGAUGGUGCAUGUCAUGAGUAGUGCAACGCCUAUACGAGGCGCUAAACUAUACAGUGUAGCGCCUAGCUCUCAGGCGUUGCACAUUGACUUAGCUUUUUUCGGGCAAUCUGGGUUACGACACUGGAUAGACGUGUAGCGCCUGGAAGCUAGGCGCUCCACAGUGUAGUGUGACGCCUAUAUGUCGGGCGCUACACAAAAAGAUCAGUUGGGUGAAAUUUUUUCAAACACAGUUUAGUUUGUGAAAUAGUUUUUCUAUAGGUCAGAUUUGUCAUUUCUGCCGGCUUACGGAGUAUCUCCACCUGUGGACCGAGACCGAUCAGAUCUUGCUGAACUUUGAUGCAAACGACUCCGUCACAUGGUCCUGUGAGAAGGACUGACGCUUUUCGACUAGGUCAGUGUACACAGCGAGAUUCUGGGGCAGGGAAGUGAUAUCUAAUAGCGAGCUUCACCUGGCGAUUGAAGGCCCCGCUUCGCUGCCGCUUCUUCGCUUGGAUGGCCCUCUAGAACAAGUGUUGGACGGCAGACCGGCUAGCCCAGAGCGAUGCCCUUUUUGCGACCAGGAGGAAGAAACCAUCAAUCACCUGCUGCUAGACUGUGUGUUUGCCAGAGAAGUUUGGACCAUCAUCUCUGAUGCCGCAGGCAAGCCGAACUGGGCCCCGACGAGGGGGGAAAGCAUCGCAUAAUGGUCUGUAGAGAAGGGUGGAUCAGGUCGGGCUUGCAAGGAUAUUAGGACGGUCUGAACCCUCGUGCUCUGGGAACUAUGAAGACAUCGCAAUGCCAUUGUGUUCGACACCGCCCCCCUUCCAUGAACCAUGUGAUCAGCAACAUCCAGGCUGAGGUAAUGGCAUGUAAGCAAGUGGGAAUGAUAAAAGAAGACGCCAGUACUUUCCUAGCGAAAUUAGGAGAGUGGGCUAGGAGGCCGUAUUAGGCGAACACCGUAGCAUAUGUGGGGUGGAGUUCGUGUUCAUAUUGUAGUAUGUAACAUCAUCGUGGAGGGGCUUUUUUUUCCGUUCCCUUCUUUAAUAUAGAGUGCGCACACUCGUGUGUAUUUAAAAAAAAAAGGAAUGUCGGGCCAUCAUUUGGAUGGCCCGUUAUGCUUCUUUGUCGUUUUGUGUGUGUGCGUGUGUGAUGUGUGUGCCCUUUGAUCUUGCUCUUCCCCUCGAUUGGUUGAUCGUUUUGCUCGGCUGCUUUUGCUUGUUUUCUGUGUGGCCUAUGUCGGGGUGUGCCACUUGAGUGUUGUGUUGCUUUGAAUGGCCAAAUAAAAGCAUCUACAACCGGACCCUCCACUUCUCCCUCAAACGUCCAAAACGCCCUCCCGGCCAGUGUCCGAUCAGAAAAAACUAACCCAACCGAACCCCCCACUUCGUCCCUAAACGCCCGGACUGACCGGCCUACCUCAAACUCGUCUCAAAUCUAAGGGCAAUAUGAGGCUGUCUGGUCACGUUCACGCACAUCGACUCGACCCCAUGUGCAGCCACUCAAUCCUCGUCUCUCUCUCUCUUCUCUUCGCUGAUGCAUGCCGCCCCAUCCGCGCCGCCUGUGACCUAGCCGCCGCGUCCGCGCAGCCCGCGUGCCCGCGCAGCCCGGAGCUCUCGCGCACCUUGGCCGUGUUCGCACCGCCCGCCUGCUGGCCGCCGCGUGCCCGCGCCGUAUGCUGGUCACCGAACACUCCCACAAGGAAAUAUUAUCCGCGACCACUUCCCUGAGGUCAUGGGGUUUGGAUCCACGCCUACCGCCGAUUUUAAUUGGGAUGAGCUCAACAUCCAAUCCCUUGAUCUCCAUGAGCUUGGUAAUGAUAUAAUUGAGGACGAGGUGUGGGAGGCCAUUAAGGAGAUGCCCGACGACAAGGCACCCGGCCCCGACGGAUUCAUCGGGCUCUUCUUCAAGAGAUGUUGGGGCUACAUCAAACAUGACAUCAUGAGUCAAUAGAUGUUUCGGCGCCCUUCGCACUAACAACCUCCAGUGGCUCAAUUCUGCCAAUGUGGUACUGUUACCCAAAAAAGAAGGGGCCAAGGGCAUUUCCGACUACAAACCCAUUAGCCUUAUUCAUGUCGUAGCAAAAAUCAUUGCCAAGGUGCUAUCCCUAAGGCUCGCACCCCACAUGGGUGCCCUUGUCUCCCACGUGCAGAGCGCAUUCAUUAAGAAAAGGAGCAUUCACGACAACUUCAUGUACGUUCACAACUUCGCCCGCCGGCUCCAUAAGUGCAAGACUCCCACCCUCCUUUUCGAACUCGAUAUCAAAAAAGCCUUUGACUCGGUCAAAUGGGAAUACAUUUCGGACUUGCUUCAACCAAAAGGUCUGCUAGAUAAAUUUAGAGAUUGGGUUGCAGCUUUGCUUUCCUCGUCAUCAUCACGGUUCCUCCUCAACGGCAUCCCUGGACAACCCAUUAAGCAUGGCAGCGGUUUCAGGCAAGGGGACCCUCUUUCGCCUCUGCUAUUCGUGACGGAGAUAGACCCACUUCACCACAUCCUUGAUCUAGCAACUCAUAAGGGCCUUAUUCACAAGCUUCGUGGACGAGGGGCCAUGGUGAGAACCUCCCUGUAUGCUGACGACGCGGCGGUUUUCAUGGCUCCGAUCAAGACAGACAUCGACAACCUGUCGAUCAUCCUAAGAGGCUUUGGGGAUGUCACGGGCAUGUGCACCAAUCUCUAGAAAAGAUAUGUUGUGCCCAUUAGGUGUGCUAGUCUCGACCUGGAGCACAUCCUAAGUAAUAUGCCGGCGACCCGGGCCUCUUUUCCCAUAAAAUAUUUGGGCAUCCCACUAUCGGUUUGGCAGCUUCGGAAAAUUGAUUUCCAUUAUCUAGAGGACAAAGUAGCUGCCAAGUUGGUCACUUGGGAGGGGCAGAACAUCACCACCAUUGGCCGAGCGGCGCUUGUCAAAUCUGUGGUUGCUUCUCAAGCGAUAUACUCCAUCACGUCGUUGAUUGUUCCGCAAGGAACUCUUCACAACCUGAAAAAGAUUAGGGGAGCCUUCCUUUGGUCUGGAUCUGACAAGACAACCGGCGCACAUGCAAAGUCAAUUGGGAAAUUGUUUGCCGUCCUUCUGCAUACAGAGGCCUCGGGGUGCUAAACAUUGACAAGUUUGGUCGCGCAUUAAGGCUGAGAUGGUUGUGGUAUGAAUGGAAGGAGCCGAGCAACUAUGGUUGGGUUUGGGUAACCCAUGUACUGUUCAAGACCAUGAUCUCUUCUAUGCAUCCACCAUGAUAGUCAGGGGCAAUGGUGCAAAAAACACCUUUUUGGGACUCCCCUUGGCUUCUCGGCCACAAGCCCAAGGACAUUGCUCCUCUGAUCUUUGAAGCCUCAAGGAGGAAAACUUGGAAGGUGUGUGACGCCCUCAAGGCGAACGCUUGGAUGCUCCAGAUCAAGAGGGACACCGUCAUCUCCGGAGACCACGUCCGGGAAUUCUUCACCCUUUGGAUGCUCACUCAUGAUUUUCACAUUGAUGACUACGCCGAGGAUGACAUUGUGUGGAAGCACUCCAUGGAUGGGGUUUACUCGACGUCCACUGCUUACAAGGUGCAAUUCCUGGGUUUAACGCUAUCUCCUAUGGACUUCAUGGUGUGGAAAGUCUGGGCCCCUCCGAAAGUUAAGUUUUUUGCAUGGCUUGCAUUGCAAGGGCGGAUUUGGACUGCCGACCGUUUGGAGCGUCGUGGCUGGGCAAAUUGUGGCAUUUGCCCCCUAUGUAAGAGAGAACAAGAGACGACCAUUCACCUCUUUGUUAGGUGCCGUUACUCUACACGGCUAUGGAACAUGGUCAUCCAAAAUUUGGGCUUGCACACAUGGACACCACCACUUGGCAUCUCCACGCAUCCCUCUUCGAAUGGUGGGACAAGAGGACCGACACGACGAACCCCAACAGGCGAGUUAUGGCCUCUCUCACUAUGCUUGUCUUGUGGACAAUUUGGAAUGAGAGAAACGCUCGGGUGUUCCGGCUCGGGUGUUCCGGCACAAGAGCGCGCCGCCUCCAAGCUUUCUCCAACUUGUAACUGAUGAGGCAAAGCUUUGAGUAACCGCCGGCGCUAAGAAACUAGGGAAAAUUGUAAUAAGUGAGUAAUUGUCAGGCCGUGUUGGGUCAGGUCUUGUAACACUCCAAAAACUCUAUCCUUCUCAUUUAAUAGAUUAGGCAAAUCUUUUGCCUCCAUUUCAAAGAAAAAAAUGGAUGGAUCUUCGCCUGCUACGAUAUGCUGGAUAUGUGCCAGUGAAGAUGUUGAUGACCUAGUGUGAGGCCGUCAUGGUCUACCAAGGCAUGCCCGACUUAGCGAGGCCAAAGGUCCUAACGAGAACUGCCCAGGCCAAAGGUCCGGGUAGCUGUGGCAUCGCCGUGCGAUAGUUUUUUUUUUUCCAUGAAUAACGAGAAGAGUCGUUGUCCGUCUUAUCCUGCGCCAGGCCGGCGAGGAUGAUCCAAUAGGUGACCGCCUCAGCGACCGUAGACCGUAUGCAAACAAGAGGUUGGCCAAAUGGCUACUUGUGCCUACGUAACCUGGAAUCCGCCGAACACCUUUCCUAUAAUUGCAACAUCUCCUACUCUGUUUGGCUCACAUAGCAGCGCAAUGGUAUGGAUGCAAUUCUUUACAUCCGGAUACAUGGAAGAAGAGCACAGAAAUCAUCACGUCCAUGAUCGACGGAGCUAGGCCGGAGUUCCUUCUGUCCUAUGGGAGAUUUGGCAGGAGAGAAACGGAAGCACUUUCAGAGGAAAAAUUGAAUCCUCGACUCCAAUUGUCAGGAGAACGCUGGAGUUAUGGAGGCCAGGUAGGAGCAGCAAAAUUAGAGCACCCUUUUGGGGAUCCACCGAGAGAAUAAUCAGUACUGAUGCCUGUACUCUUUUUUUAUCCUUGAUCCUUGGGUCACCUGACAUUCCACUUUUGCAUUCCUGCUAAUAUCAAUAUAAGCCAGCCAUCAGCUGGAUCUUUUAAAAACAAAAUCUGGUGACCGAGUAGCUCGGGAUAACAGAAGCAUGUGCCAGGGCAGCAAAAAUCCACAUUGCUCAAGGGUUCAAAUUACAGAGACAAGCACGCCCGCUUACACAACUGUUAAAAUUUGUUCUUUUCAUAACACCGCAUACAUCACGUUUUUCCACAGCAAUAUCGCUAGUACAUGAUGCCAUGAUCUUACAUGUUAAACAUACCAAGUCCAGUACAUGAGUACCCUACUCACACAUUGCUUUGCUUGUACAGCUUCGUGUCCAGCACUUGCUUACCACACAUCGCACACACCCCUGAAA
rnacentral:lncRNA from 1 species